CUGGCCCUAAAUCUUGAUGUUUCCCAAACACAAACAUCCGCCCGAGAACUACGAGCACAAACGCUUAAAACUCUAAGGACUUGGCGGUGCCCUAAACCCACCUAGAGGAGCCUGUUCUAUAAUCGAUAACCCACGAUCCACCCGACCACUUCUUGCCAAAACAGCCUACAUACCGCCGUCUCCAGCCCACCUCUGUGAGAGUACAACAGUGAGCCCAACAGCCCUCACCCCGCUAAUAAGACAGGUCAAGGUAUAGCCCACGAAGUGGAAGAAAUGGGCUACAUUUUCUAAAAUAGAACACCCAACGAAAGGGGGCCUGAAACCUGCCCCAAGAAGGCGGAUUUAGCAGUAAAGCGGGAUAAUCAAGCCCCCUUUAAGCCGGUCCUAGGGCA
rnacentral:rRNA from 1 species